GCUCUGUCUCUCCUUGAUCUGUCUAGAUCUGGAAUUUGAUCCCACCCCCCACACGCGUCCCAACACUUGACGGCCGGUGACGGUGAGACUGACGCCCUCUUAGGUGCAGGAGGAGCCAUGGCGCAGCUCGGGGGGCUGAUCGCCUCUGCGCUCCUCAAGGUGGUGGGGGAUCAGAUCGGCUCCGUGCUCGGCGGCCAGAUCAAGCUGCGGCGUAACUUCGACAAUGACCUGCGCAGGAUGAAGGAGACGCUCGAGUGCGUCGAGGCGGUGCUGCUGGACGCCGAGAGGCGGGCCAUCACUGACAACGAGGUCCGCCUGUGGCUGAAGCGGCUCAAGGACGCCAUGUACGCCAUCUCCGACAUGCUUGAUGAUUCCGAAGCAGAGGAGGUCUCCCGCAAGAAGAAAUUGGCUGCUGUGAUCCCUUUUCUCACAACUGUUCACAAGAUUAAAAUGGCUAAUAAGAUGAAGACGAUGAGAGAGCAUGUGGCGGAGAUCACAGCUCAACACAAGGCCUUCAACUUAAUGCCAGGGGCUGGUGCCAAUAAGCAGAAAGUUACCGAUACACGUGUAACAACAUCAUCGACCCUGCAGGCACAGAUCAUUGGGAGGACUGGUGAGGAAGAGAAAAUACUGGCUUCUGUAUCUAAGGGCAUCACAGAACAAGUCACCUUUCUUCCUAUAUAUGGUAUUGGGGGCCUUGGCAAGACUACCAUGGCCAAACUAAUCUACAAUAAUAAUUCCCAAUUCCAAGACUACUCAAGGGUGUGGGUUUAUGUGUCCCAGACAUUUGACUUGAACAAUAUUGGUAAUUCUAUAAUAUCACAACUUUCAGGUAAUACGAGUCAAGACACCAACAGGGAGAUGAUACACAUUGCUCUUCAAAAGCUGUUUGCUGAAAAGCAGAAGAUUCUGAUCGUUUUAGAUGAUUUGUGGGAGGGCAGUGAUUUUCUUUUGGAUGAUCUGAAGGCUAUGUUAAUGGUUGAGAAGGCAAGCAAGGUGGUUGUUAUACUAACCACACGGAAUGAAGGCAUUGCAAAGAAAAUGUCAACCAGACCACACAAAUUAGCACCACUGACAAAUGACAUGUGUUGGACUAUAAUAAAGCAAAAGAGUGGCUUUGAAGAAAAAGAUGACAAAGCUAAGCUGGAGCAGAUUGGAAUGGACAUUGCAAUGAAAUGUGGAGGUGUGGGUUUAGCAGCUCAAUCACUUGGGUACAUGUUAAAUUCUAUGCCAACAUCUCAUGAAUGGGAGUCAGUGAGAGACAGUGAUAUUUGGACUCUAUCUGCUUCAGACUCGGAAGAUACACCUUCAAGACAGGUGAUUGCAUCUUUGAGGUUAAGUUAUAGUUCCAUGCCUUCAUAUUUGAAACUGUGCUUUGCCUAUUGUGCAAUCUUUCCAAAAGGUCACAAGAUAGUCAAAGAUGAUCUAAUUCGCCAGUGGAUUUCUCUUGAUUUUAUCAAGCCAACCAGAACAUCCUCCAGUCAUCAGCUCGGCGAGAAAUACAUUACGGAGCUUUUAGGGCUGUCAUUCCUUGAACACUCAAAGUCAUCACUGACUGCUAGAGUGCAUCCUGACGAUGUUACAUUAUUCACCAUGCAUGAUCUUGUGCAUGAUCUAGCCAGAUCGGUAAUGGAUGAUGAAAUUCUCGUCGCUAGCGAAGAUGGCAACCUUGGGGGAAGCAACUGCCACUUUGCAUUGCUCGAUGAUUGUAAGAAGCGAUUGGAGUCACCCAGGAUAAGAGCACUCCAUUUUAUGGACUCUGCUGAAAUUGGACUUCAUGAUGCUGCAUUUCCAUCUGCUAAGUCCCUACGUGUCUUGGACUUAAGUCAGUGUUGCGUACAUAAGUUGCCAGAUUCUAUUGAUCGAUCAAAAUGGUUGAGGUAUCUUAACGCUCCCAGAAUACUUGAUGCAACGAUUCCCAAUAGUAUAACCAGUCUAUCAAAAUUAAAUUACCUCAGUCUCCGUGAUUCUUCUAACAUCUUGACACUGCCACAGUCGAUUGGAGAAAUUGAAGGUCUGAUGUAUCUUGAUUUAUCUGGUUGUUCGGGAAUGAGAGAACUUCCAAAAUCCUUCGGAGAGCUAAAAAAAUUGGUGCGUCUUGAUUUGUCAAAAUGCGUUUGUGUUUGCAAUGUAUCAGAGUUCUUGGGGAGCCUCACGGAACUGCAAUAUUUGAACUUGUCAGGAUGUAGAUCUAUUGGAAAUCUACACGCAUCCUUGGGUGUCCUAUCUGAGCUGCAAUAUUUGAACUUAUCAUUCAGCUCUUAUGUUAAUUGCAGAAAAACGAAAGUAUUUGGCGCCGUCGCCAAAGUGGAGUGUUCAAAGUUAUCUUCAAGUCACUCUUGUCUGGAACAGCUCCCUGAAGUUUUAGGCAGCUUCAAUAAACUCAAGUUUUUAAACCUAUCAGGUUCUUAUUGUCUCAAAGAGUUGUCAUGGUUAUCUGGAAACCAGAAAAGUUUGGUGCAUCUUGAUUUAUCGAAGUGCAGAGAGGUUAAUUAUAUACCGGAAGCUUUUUCUGGAUUUACCAAUCUUCAAUAUUUGAAUCUAUCGGCAUGCCUCCGGUAUAGACUUGACAAGUCACCUGUAUGUCAAAUUGACCGUUUGAUAGACCAUAUUAGUACCCUUUCCAAUCUAGAGCAUUUGGAUUUGUCUAAUAAUGGUGAUGCUAUUUGCUCUUUACCUGAAUGUCUUGGUAACCUUAGAAAGCUGCACACACUGGACCUCUCACACUGCAAUAUUACAAAGAUACCAGAAAGUAUAGGUACGAUUGAUAGUUUGAAGAUGCUAUAUUUUAAGGGAUGCUGGCUUCUUUCUAAUGUACCGCAGCUCAGUGCUAGUUCCAUAUCAUUACCCCUUUUUGGCGUGCAUGCUGGUGAUGGUAAAUCGAGCAGCAACCUUGUUCUCCUACAAGGCAUGAAUCCUGUUGAGCUGAAGAUCAUCCAACUUGAAAAAGUGAAGUCGGCGGAAGAAGCUAUGUGUAUAAAGUUGAUGGAAAAAGAAAGACUUCAAGACUUGACUCUCCGGUGGACUGAAGAUGCUCAGAGGUUUGUGGAUGAUGAAGUGUUGUUGGAGAAACUAGAGCCACCGAGCAGUUUAACUACAUUGAUUAUACAAUGGUAUAAUGUUGUCAGUUUUCCAUCCUGGCUCAGCCAACUGCCAAACCUGACAUGGCUAGCUCUCUACGAUAUGAAACAUCUGGAAGAGUGGAGUGCAUCAGACUCCAGUCGUGCGAACGACCUCAGGUUCCCUAUGCUUGAUUGUUUGUAUAUAAAAAAUUGCCCCAAACUGAGGAUGUGAUCGCUUCUUCCAAGAGCUAAACGUUGGUAUAUAAGUAAGAGUGAUAAUGCACUUUCAUCAUGGGGAGAGUGUACUAUGUCAGACACCAGCUCUCCUUCUCUAGUAACUACUGAACUGGCUGUUGCAGACUGCGAGCUGCCUCUGCAUCAGUGGAGCCUGCUUGGCCAUCUCUCUGGCCUCACUGAAUUAAGGAUGGAACGGUGUGGUGAUCUGACCGGCACACCAGAGAUAAUCCAACAUCUCUCUUCCCUCAAAGGUCUAAGCCUAACAGGCAAGGAACAUGAAGAACUGCCGAAAUGGUUGGGUGAGCUCACAUCCCUUGAGAGGCUGUGCAUAGAUGCAUACACAGGGAUAAAGGAAUUGGAUGAGAGCAUAAGGAAACUAACAAAGCUACAAGAGCUAAAACUGUACAACUGUAACAGCAUGUCAUCGUUGCCCCAUUGGCUGACAGAAUUAACCUGUCUCAAUACUCUUGUGAUCAAUUUUUGUGAGGGCAUCAGGUCUUUGCCGGAGGGCAUAGAACAACUCACCAACCUCAAGAAACUGAAAAUUAACUGCCCUUAUUUACAGAGGUAGUGCGAAUCAGGGGAAAACAAGAUGAAUCUCGCUCACAUCAAUAUAUUGGGGAUAUUUUCGCAUUUCAGUCAUGGAGGCAGAGGUGAUCAUCAGGAGCACCUACACUUGUAACUGGUUUGCAAAAUUCAACCGUAAACAAGCCUCUCGAACCGUCAAGAUGAAUCCAGCAAGGUGACCGCUUUUUUUUGUGAUGCGGCCCACUUUGUUAUUAAAUUAUUUGACUUCAUCUGUUCUUAACUGUAACAUUUAACGGGAGGUCUUCAUCUGUUCCGCUUGCCCUUAUGUUCAAGUGUGGAUUAGGAUUACAGAAAAGGUUGAAUACAUCGUUCUACUUCUACCUGAAAUACAGCCCCGCUGUUCAUGGCCUUCCCCUGUUGUGCUCGCCUUGGCGUUCAAGCGCCUGUUGAGAUUCUGAUGGAUUAGAUUGCGUUCAUACAAAAGAUACAUUGUGAGUUGUAUCAUCAAUUGUAAGCCCCUUUUGUAGUCGAUCAUGGACUGUGAUAUGUAUAGCUUGUGAACUCAGUUUGCUAUUCAUUUUGUCCACAAGAAAGUUAGCCAUUCA